rnacentral:misc_RNA from 1 species
AAGUGUUUAGUAUUAUACAGUUUCAUAUUAAAUUAAACGUUGUUAAUAGUAAACAUAAUUUUAGAUUUUGAGUUGAAAGUUUUUUAUAUUGCUAAAUAUGUAUUUUAAAUCUAAUAGAACGGCAAUUGCAAUUUUUAAAAUUGAAAUUGCAUUGUAAAUAUACCCUAACAUCGAAAUUGACAAAUGUUUUAUUUUUAUUGUUCAUCAUAGUUAAAGUAGACUAUAGUACAUAGUACUUGGAAAAAUGGAAUACAUUGGGACCAGGAUGAGUUGAACAUCCGACCUCAGGUUUAUCA